rnacentral:tRNA from 1 species
GCCGGAGAAGCAGAAAUUGGAACUGCGCCUGUCUUGUAAACAGGAUGUUGCCCGUUCGAACCGGGUCUCUGGCU